AGUGAACGCUGGCGGUAGGCCUAACACAUGCAAGUCGAACGGCAGCACAGUAAGAGCUUGCUCUUACGGGUGGCGAGUGGCGGACGGGUGAGGAAUACAUCGGAAUCUACUUUUUCGUGGGGGAUAACGUAGGGAAACUUACGCUAAUACCGCAUACGACCUACGGGUGAAAGCAGGGGAUCUUCGGACCUUGCGCGAUUGAAUGAGCCGAUGUCGGAUUAGCUAGUUGGCGGGGUAAAGGCCCACCAAGGCGACGAUCCGUAGCUGGUCUGAGAGGAGGAUCAGCCACACUGGAACUGAGCCACGGUCCAGACUCCUACGGGAGGCAGCAGUGGGGAAUAUUGGACAAUGGGCGCAAGCCUGAUCCAGCCAUACCGCGUGGGUGAAGAAGGCCUUCGGGUUGUAAAGCCCUUUUGUUGGGAAAGAAAAGCAGCAGGUUAAUACCCCGCUGUUCUGACGGUACCCAAAGAAUAAGCACCGGCUAACUUCGUG
rnacentral:rRNA from 1 species